GACGAACGCUGGCGGCGUGCUUAACACAUGCAAGUCGAACGAUGAAGAAGAGCUUGCUCUUCGGAUUAGUGGCGAACGGGUGAGUAACACGUGACUAACCUGCCCCUUUCUCUGGGAUAACGCUCCGAAAGGAGUGCUAAUACCGGAUACUCACAUCGAGGCACAUGCCUUGAUGUGGAAAGUUUUUCGGAAAGGGAUGGAGUCGCGGCCUAUCAGCUUGUUGGUGAGGUAACGGCUCACCAAGGCGACGACGGGUAGCCGGCCUGAGAGGGCGAACGGCCACACUGGGACUGGAACACGGCCCAGACUCCUACGGGAGGCAGCAGUGGGGAAUAUUGCACAAUGGUCGAAAGCCUGAUGCAGCGACGCCGCGUGGGGGAUGAAGGUCUUCGGAUUGUAAACCUCUUUCAGUAGGGACGAAGCGAAAGUGACGGUACCUAAAGAAGAAGCACCGGCUAACUACGUGCCAGCCGCCGCGGUAA
rnacentral:rRNA from 1 species